UACGAAGGGGGCUAGCGUUGCUCGGAAUUACUGGGCGUAAAGGGCUCGUAGGCGGUUCGUCACGUCGGGAGUGAAAACUCGGGGCUUAACCCCGAGCCUGCUUCCGAUACGGGCAGACUAGAGGUAGGCAGGGGAGAGCGGAACUCCUGGUGUAGCGGUGGAAUGCGCAGAUAUCAGGAAGAACACCGGUGGCGAAGGCGGCUCUCUGGGCCUUACCUGACGCUGAGGAGCGAAAGCUAGGGGAGCAAACGGG
rnacentral:rRNA from 1 species